rnacentral:rRNA from 1 species
GGGGCAGCAGGCGCGAAAACUCUGCAAUAGGCGAAAGCCUGACAGGGUUACUCUGAGUGAUUUCCGCUAAGGGGAUCGUUUGGCACCUCUAAAAAUGGUGCAGAAUAAGUCCUGGGCAAGUCUGGUGUCAGCCGCCGCGGUAAUACCAGCACCCCGAGUGGUCGGGACGAUUAUUGGGCCUUAAGCAUCCGUAGCCGGUUCUGCAAGUCUUCCGUUAAAUCCAGCCGCUCAACGGAUGGGCCGCGGAGGAUACUAUAGGACUAGGAGGCGGGAGAGGCAAGCGGUACUCAGUGGGUAGGGGUAAAAUCCUUUGAUCCAUUGAAGACCACCAGUGGCGAGGGCGGCUUGCCAGAACGCGCUCGACGGUGAGGGAUGAAAGCUGGGGGAGCAAACCGGAUUAGAUACCCGGGUAGUCCCAGCUGUAAACGAUGCAGACUCGGUGAUGGGCUAGCCUUGUGCCAGCCCAGUGCCGCAGGGAAGCCGUUAAGUCUGCCGCCUGGGGAGUACGGUCGCAAGACUGAAA